rnacentral:snRNA from 1 species
ACUAAUAUCAUGCAUAGGGGAGAUCCCAUGAUCACACAAAGUAGCUUUCCCAGGGUGACACCUGUCCGCUCCAGGCAGGCUGAUCCCUGCAAGUUCCCCUGAAUGCAGGGAAACUCAACUGCACAAUUUUGUGGCAACAGGGUGCAGCAUUCACACUUCCCCCGU